AGCAGCCGCGGUAAUUCCAGCUCCAAUAGCGUAUAUUAAAGUUGUUGCAGUUAAAAAGCUCGUAGUUGAAUUUCGGGGUUCAUACGUUGGUCGGGCUUUUUGGUCUGUACUAGCGUAAUGGAUUCCUACCUUCUGAAUAACCGGCAUGCCAUUAAUUUGGUGCGCCGGGGAAGCAGGACUGUUACCUUGAAAAAUUAGAGUGCUUAAAGCAGGCUAUCGCCUGAAUACAUUAGCAUGGAAUAAUGAAAUAGGACGGCAUGGUUCUAUUUUGUUGGUUUCUAGGAUCACCGUAAUGAUUAAUAGGGAUAGUUGGGGGCAUUAGUAUUCAAUUGUCAGAGGUGAAAUUCUUGGAUUUUAUUGAAGACUAACUACUGCGAAAGCAUUUGCCAAGGAUGUUUUC
rnacentral:rRNA from 1 species